CACGUAGGGGACGAGCGUUAUCCGGAAUCACUGGGCGUAAAGCGUGCGUAGGUGGAUGCUUAAGUGAGUUGUUAAAUCGUGUGGCUCAACCAUAUCGAUGCAAUUCAUACUGGGCGUCUAGAGGACAGCAGAGGCAAGUGGAAUUUGUAGUGUAGCAGUGAAAUGCGUAGAUAUUACAAGGAACACCAAUGGCGAAGGCAGCUUGCUGGGCUACUCCUGACACUGAGGUACGAAAGCGUGGGGAGCGAACAGG
rnacentral:rRNA from 1 species